AGGCCAUCGGAGAUGGUUAAUCCUGCUUGCCCUUUGUCUGAGCCAGUUAGGGGAAGAAGCUGUCAGGGGAGAGAUGAGAUGUUCUCUUUCUAAAUCUCCUUAGAGUGCACUGCUUCAAGUAGCCACUCAUCCCUCCCGUCCAUAUGGCCAGCUGAACCGCAGUGACAGAAAUCAAGAGCAUGGAACAAUUCAGGGACAGAUGUUUCCGAUCCAGGAGGAGACAGGGCCUGAAAUGAAGGGAGAGGGAGCAGCACUUGGACAAAGGGAGAAAGCAAGGCUGCAAUACAUCAGUCCUGACCCACAGUCCCUCCGGCUGACUGCAAGGAGUUUAUGGUUCCAUUACCGAGGAGUUGAGGCACUGAAAGGAAUCCAACAAGGACCCGGAGCUCUCAAAGCCCUGGCAGGGUGCCUACUUCACCUCCGCCCAGUGUGAGCAGAUCCCCGAACAAGCAGAAAGCUUUCACCGCAGUGCUGCUCAGCCCUGGCUACUCAGCAAGCACUGGAGGAGUUUUAAAGAGAACCCAGCAUUGAGGCUACACUGAGGUCAAGUACAUCCACUCUCUGCACGGGACAUGAAGGCACCAGUUCUUUUUAUAGACCCCCAGGUAAUUGUAGUGUGUGGCCGAAGAUGAGAACAAAACCCCUCACCUGUGGGCCUAUUAGAACAGCAUCAGGCAACUAAUCUCUGCAAAAUUCUCCUCCAGCAUGUCAGUCUCCCCACAGCAGAUCUGUUUUCUUAAAUCCUAUCAAAGGUUUUGGUUUGGUUUUGUUCUGUUUCUUUUGCCUUCCAUAGAAGGUGAUGGAUUAAUGGUAAGCACAUGGGCUUUGGAGUCAGGCGGCCAGAAAAAAAAAUCUGACAUCUACUACUCCUAGGCUUUGUGACCCUGUGCAACAAAAGUAGUAUUUCUGUCUCUCAGUUGCCCCCUCCUGUGAAGCAGUACGUAACGAUGUCCUAUUACAGGAGGCAGUUCACAGAAAGCACUCAGAAUCUGACAUAAGGUAGCACAUGGUAUUCCCUUAGUAUUUAUUACCAUUAUUUCUUGUAGGAAAUAUAAGGUAAAGGCCUUAAGUGGAGCUGAUAUGGCUAUGCAGCAGUAUGAAUUUAUUUUGGUAAUGGUGGAAAGUCCUGGUGACAGCGUUUGUAUUAUACUUACUUUAAGCAAAAAGAAAUUAUCUAUCUUCCUUUAUGCUUUAAGGUUCUAGCUAAAUUUUGUUGAGCAAAGCGUUCUGCAAAUUAAGGAAAUGUUUAAAAUUAUUUGUGAUGUAAUUAAUUUACUUUUAUUCUGUAGACUGAAAACACAACUUUAGGAAUAGCUGGGGGCAGUGGAGUCUUGGUUUGAGGCCUUCGGUAGUUAACUAGGUGGAUGCCCGGGGUAAAUGUGGGUAAAGUUACAUGGCCAAGUUUUGGGCUUUCAAAUGGUUUACAAAGCAUUUUUUGUUUGGUACUGUACUUCGGGAAUUUUGCUGACAGAGAUAAUAAGAAUUUCUUCGUCAUAAACUUGAACUGAAAUAAAAAAAACCACCAAAAACUACUGACAGGUCUUGUCUAGCAUAGUGCUAAACAAGGCCUCAAAUCUUCAGAAACAUCACAAGGUUUUAAUAUUCAGGGAAAAUUUUACAUUCAGCUCUAGUGAAAAUAUCCUACUUCAGCUGAUCUGAUUAUGAUUCAGCAUCAUCUCAAAGAAGAGAGAAGUAUAAUUUAUUAUUGUUAUUACAUUGGCUGGGUGAUUGGAAACAUAUUACCAAUGUACAAAUUAGAGCCUCUAAUUCUAAAGUAAUUAUCAGCCAAUUUCAGAGUUGUUAACAGGAGUAGAAUUAUGAAUAUAUUAGCUGAUUCACCCUUACAAAUCAAGUUUUGAUUAGAUAAUACUACACACUAAUAUUUCUUAAAUUCAAAUUUCUUAAAAGGCUUUUUAGAAUAAAAAUUUUGAUAAAAAUUUUUAAUAAUGUAUGCAGAGCUCGGGAGGGAGAAUAAAUGAUUGAUGGUUUUCCUUUAUAAACCCUAUUAAAGGUUCUGAUUUGGUUGGUCUCCAACUGUUUUGGCUCAGAAUUAGGAAUUCUAGUUUUGAUGACAGCUCAUGUGCAUUGAUUAGAAAAACAUCUCGAAGAGCUAUUAAGCAUCAAGUUAAUCACUACAAAUGUAGUAAUGGAGUAUUUCAUACUAAAAGU
rnacentral:lncRNA from 1 species